CGCAGCCCUUGCACCCAUAGUGGGUGCAAUAGAAGUGGUCCCACUUCUAUUGCACCCACUCCAGCAACGCUUGCACCUCCAUUGCACCUCCAACGCUUGCACCUCCUUCGCUUGCACCCACUCUAGCAACGCUUGCACCCAUAGUGGGUGCAAUAGAAGUGCAAUAAAAGGGGCGCGUGUAAACACGCCCCUCCUUCGCUCCCACUAUUGCCGAGUGCGACCCAUCGCCCCCCUCCCUUCGCUCCCGGGUGCAGCAACGGCGCUGGGUGCGAUAGGCCGGGUUCGAUCCGGCCAUCGCACCCAGCGCU
rnacentral:lncRNA from 1 species